UACGUAGGAUGCUAGCGUUGUCCGGAUUUACUGGGCGUAAAGCGCGCGCAGGCGGCACACCAAGUACGCAGUGAAAUCUCCCUGCUCAACGGGGAGGGUGCUGAGUAAACUGGUGAGCUAGAGGACGGUAGAGGGGGGUGGAAUUCCCGGUGUAGCGGUGAAAUGCGUAGAGAUCGGGAGGAACAUCAGUGGCGAAGGCGGCCCUCUGGACCAGUACUGACGCUGAGGCACGAAAGCGUGGGGAGCAAACAGG
rnacentral:rRNA from 1 species